ACUCUGCAUGUGAACAGGAAAAAAUAGUACAUAUGAACAUUCUUUAUACACCUACCAGCUAAUUGUGAAUUUUAUGCAUAUGCCUGUGAAUAUAUUGAACACUAUGAAUGCAAGCUCAAAGAAUAAUAAAAAUAUGUCAGACUGCUUAUCUUGAAUGUUGAAGGACAGCUAUUCUAAUGUUGUGAAGGUAUUUCUUCAUGUGGCGAGAACCAGAUUCAAUGUUGACCCCAUCUCUCCCCCGGUAGGCCAGGUCCGCCCAGAAACCACGAUGAGACCAAAAAUGAAUUCCAUGAAGCUUUUCAGUCUCUGACUUGAGCUGCUUGUUCACAGUCAUGACAUCAUUGAAGUAUGUCCGAGAGGCCCAUGGUUGACGUCUAAGAGACUGCAAGUCGACAAACAAUUGUACGAGGAAUGUGAAAAAGAUGAUCAGUGCAAUGCGACAUCGGGGAAGGAGGUCUGUAGAGAAAUACGAGGCAGGAAGUUAUGUUUGUGUGAAGUAGGGUUUAUUGAGGACACUACAGCUCUAAAAUGUCUUCAAGUAAACAACCUACAAUUUACUGGACAAGAAAUCAUUCAGUCCCUGCAUCAUGAGUUUGCACACCGCUGUCGAAAAAAUGAAAUUCAUACACUGCUGACCCUGACGUUGAACGGCCAUCCUUUUCUGAGUUCGGAUAUUCAAGCAAUCCGCCCAUACGAGUAUUUGAGUACCCAGCUAUAUGAUCUGGAGUAUUAGAACAUAGGGCUAUCCGAGUAGCCGGGCAUAGUGACUAAAAAACGGAGAUAUAACCCUCACACAUUUCAUGUAAGAUACGACUUCAUCAGGACAGGGACUAAGAAGAAAUACUGUUUAUUGUAAAUUGCGUAAUUUAUUAACAUGUAUAAAUAUUAUCAAAACUCUCUGCACACUGUUUAUUUCUAAAACGCCUAAGUAUACCCUUGAAAAUAUGUAAUACACUUGAUUCGACAUUACUAUUCAAUUUGGCAAUUUUGAACGUUAGACUAUUCAUACAAUAAGUUGUUGUCGUCACUUAGGAAAUAUAAUGUUUUUAAAUUAGGAGCUUAUUGUGCACUACAGUCAAAUACAGCUGUGUUUUACUCUUAAAGAAAAAAACUGCUACAUGUUUAAUUUAUGUACGUCUAUUAUUGUACAUUUACAUGUAAAGCACAAGUGUGUUUUAUGCAUGUCUGAUUGUAACAUGCACAGUAAACAUUUUUUUUCAUGUAAAUUUCUUUUUCUUUUUGUUACAUUUUUUAAAUUGCCAUGUUAUUUUUUUCUGUUUGGUACACUAAAUGUCAUUUCUUUCAUGUUUAUGUGUGGCUAUUUGAUACAUGUAGUUAACGUUCAUCGUGCUUUUCAUUGCUAUUGACUUGUUUGUUUGGUAUAUGUACAUAAAAUUUAGUUCCAAAAUAUGUGUUUCUGUUUUGUACAUAUUUUUCAUCGAGGGAUAUGUGUGCCUGUUUGAUACAUUUAAUGUCAUUGUAUAUUGCAUGUUUGUGAGUCUGUUUGUUACGCGCAAAUUUCCAAUUGUUUUUAUAUAUAUCAUUUUAGUAUGCGUUUGGGUUGAAAAUGACAAAACAAAAAGUAUGUCUAUAACAAUCUCUCAACAUUUAUCAAAACCAAACUCCCUGUUUUAUGUGAAGUUAUGACCUUCUGGCUGUUAGCCAUCGCUAUAAAGACAUACAUGUACGUGUAGACUACCAGAUUAAACAUUUUCACAAUAGGGAGACAUGUUUUGAUAUAUUAUUAUAAGAUUUAAUGGUCAAUUAUGAUAAAAAAAAUUCCAGAUGAAAGUUAACAUUUACUGGCCACAUAAAUUACAUUUUUUGUUAAAACCCGUCAAUAUUCCUUACUUCUUUUGUUUUGUUUUAUUCAGUAAGUUUACAAUAGUUAUAAAAGUGAGCAUCAUAAAAUCACAUUAAAACAAUUCAGAGCAGAAUGAAUUAUACAAUAGUUCAUCAUGAAAAUGUAAAAAUAAUUUACAAACACAUACAAACCAUGAAUACAUCACCAUGGAAAUUCUAUUAAUACGAAUGAUCAUGACAUAAACCCCACCUCAGUUUUAUUAGAGGAUAAAGUAAUAAAUCUGUUCUAUCUCAUAUGAAUACAUAAAAUCGAUGAUUUUAUCUUGCAUGCGCGGUCAUCGCUUUUCUCUUUGAAAAGUAAAGAAAAUAUAAUAAAACCUGUGUCAUAACUUAAUAA